AUUUGAAUAGCUUAAACUAAAACAAAGCGUAAAUUUUUUAAUUUUAAGAUAUAUAUUAUUUCAAAUA
rnacentral:tRNA from 1 species